GUAACGCAAUAGGUAGCGCGUUGGACUUCUAAUCCAAAGGUCGCAGGUUCGUAUCUUUUUUACU